CAAGGAGAAACUGAAGAGCAAGAAGGAAAGUGAGAGCCAGCAAUACCAGCAGAGCCAGAUCUGAGCUGGGAGAAGGGGAGAAAGUUUGUGAAGAGGAGGUCCACAGUGAAUGAACAUGCAGCGUGGAAGGACUGAGGUAGAUUCUGUGGUAGAAUAAGUGGUGAACUGCACAAACUGAAACCAAGAAGCAAAAUGUUUCAUCAAGAUCCUGGCCAGAAAUAAGGGCUGCAUAAUUCUUAAGAGCACCAAGC
rnacentral:lncRNA from 1 species